CCUAACACAUGCAAGUCGAGCGGUAGCACAGGAGAGCUUGCUCUCCGGGUGACGAGCGGCGGACGGGUGAGUAAUGUCUGGGAAACUGCCUGAUGGAGGGGGAUAACUACUGGAAACGGUAGCUAAUACCGCAUAACGUCGCAAGACCAAAGUGGGGGACCUUCGGGCCUCAUGCCAUCAGAUGUGCCCAGAUGGGAUUAGCUAGUAGGUGGGGUAAUGGCUCACCUAGGCGACGAUCCCUAGCUGGUCUGAGAGGAUGACCAGCCACACUGGAACUGAGACACGGUCCAGACUCCUACGGGAGGCAGCAGUGGGGAAUAUUGCACAAUGGGCGCAAGCCUGAUGCAGCCAUGCCGCGUGUAUGAAGAAGGCCUUCGGGUUGUAAAGUACUUUCAGCGAGGAGGAAGGCAUUAAGGUUAAUAACCUUAGUGAUUGACGUUACUCGCAGAAGAAGCACCGGCUAACUCCGUGCCAGCAGCCGCGGUAAUACGGAGGGUGCAAGCGUUAAUCGGAAUUACUGGGCGUAAAGCGCACGCAGGCGGUUUGUUAAGUCAGAUGUGAAAUCCCCGGGCUCAACCUGGGAACUGCAUUUGAAACUGGCAAGCUUGAGUCUUGUAGAGGGGGGUAGAAUUCCAGGUGUAGCGGUGAAAUGCGUAGAGAUCUGGAGGAAUACCGGUGGCGAAGGCGGCCCCCUGGACA
rnacentral:rRNA from 1 species